rnacentral:rRNA from 1 species
AGCAGCCGCGGUAAUUCCAGCUCCAAUAGCGUAUAUUAAAGUUGUUGCAGUUAAAAAGCUCGUAGUUGAACUUCGGGAUUUGCCCAUUGGUCAGGCUUAACUGUCUGCACUGGUGUGACGAGUUCCUACCUUCUGAGGAAUCUCCAUGUCAUUCAGUUGGUGUGGGGGGAAAUCAGGACUGUUACUUUGAAAAAUUAGAGUGUUUAAAGCAGGCAUCCGUCUGAAUACAUUAGCAUGGAAUAAUAAAAUAGGACGGUUUGGUUCUAUUUUGUUGGUUUCUAGGAUCACCGUAAUGAUUAAUAGGGAUAGUUGGGGGCAUUAGUAUUCAAUUGUCAGAGGUGAAAUUCUUGGAUUUAUUGAAGACUAACUACUGCGAAAGCAUUUGCCAAGGAUGUUUUCAUUAAUCAAGAACGAAAGUUAGGGGAUCGAAGACGAUCAGAUACCGUCGUAGUCUUAACCAUAAACUAUGCCGACUAGGGAUCGGACGAAGUUAAUUUUUAANGUACUCGUUCGGCACCUU